rnacentral:rRNA from 1 species
UACCAGCACCCCGAGUGGUCGGGACGAUUAUUGGGCCUAAAUCAUCCGUAGCCGGUUCUACAAGUCUUCCGUUAAAUCCACCUGCUUAACAGAUGGGCUGCGGAGGAUACUAUGGAGCUAGGAGGCGGGAGAGGCAAGCGGUACUCAGUGGGUAGGGGUAAAAUCCGUUGAUCCAUUGAAGACCACCAGUGGCGAAGGCGGCUUGCCAGAAUGCGCUCGACGGUGAGGGAUGAAAGCUGGGGGAGCAAACCGG